UACGAGAGGACCGGAGUGGACGAACCUCUGGUGUUCCGGUUGUCACGCCAGUGGCAUUGCCGGGUAGCUAUGUUCGGAAAAGAUAACCGCUGAAAGCAUCUAAGCGGGAAACUUGCCUCAAGAUGAGAUCUCACUGGGAACUUGAUUCCCCUGAAGGGCCGUCGAAGACUACGACGUUGAUAGGCUGGGUGUGUAAGCGUUGUGAGGCGUUGAGCUAACCAGUACUAAUUGCCCGUGAGGCUUGACCAUAUAACACCCAAACA
rnacentral:rRNA from 1 species